UGGCUCAUAGUUUAAUGGAAGAAUGCUGUGCUACGAACGCAGGGAUAUAAGUUCGAAUCUUAUUGAGCCAU
rnacentral:tRNA from 1 species